AAGGGAGCGUAGGCGGCUGAUUAAGUCAGCGGUGAAAGGUAGCAGCUUAACUGUUUUACAUGCCGUUGAUACUGGUUAGCUUGAGUUGACAGAAGGCAGAUAGAAUUCCUGGUGUAGCGGUGAAAUGCUUAGAUACCAGGAGGAAUACCGAUUGCGAAGGUAGUCUGCUGCAGUCACACUGACGCUGAGGCUCGAAGGUGCGGGGAUCAAACAGGAUUAGAUACCCUAGU
rnacentral:rRNA from 1 species